rnacentral:rRNA from 1 species
CCUACGGGUGGCAGCAGUGAGGAAUAUUGGUCAAUGGGCGGAAGCCUGAACCAGCCAAGUAGCGUGCAGGAUGACGGCCCUACGGGUUGUAAACUGCUUUUAUACGGGAAUAACGCGCCUUACGUGUAGGGCUUUGCAUGUGCCGUAUGAAUAAGGACCGGCUAAUUCCGUGCCAGCAGCCGCGGUAAUACGGAAGGUCCGGGCGUUAUCCGGAUUUAUUGGGGUUAAAGGGAGCGUAGGCCGCAUGUCAAGCGUGCAGUGAAAGGUCCGGGCUCAACCCGGGCCUUGCAGCGCGAACUGGAGUGCUUGAGUCCGCGGAAAGCAGGCGGAAUUCGUCGUGUAGCGGUGAAAUGCUUAGAUAUGACGAAGAACCCCGAUUGCGAAGGCGGCUUGCUGCAGCGGCACUGACGCUGAGGCUCGAAAGCGUGGGUAUCGAACAGGAUUAGAUACCCGUGUAGUC